UUUUUCUUGGUACUGAAGAGGGUUUCAAUAUUACCAUUCCAAGAACACAGGAAGCAACAGAAGACUCACUGUCCACAUGAAUGUUGGGAGAGAAAGUUACGCUAUGAAGAUUCUUCCAAAGCAACCAGCUAAACUGUUCCUCUGACUUCUGGACCAGGUGGCCUUAGAUAUGCAUACCAAAAGACGUUAUUCUCAUUUGUAGAAAGAUAAACCCAUUGACCCUGAAAAUAGAUCUCUUACUUCUGGCCCACAUUCAUAAUCCAAUUAUUCUUGAUCAGCGAAAUGUAAGUCCAUAAUUAAUCUGCCACCUGAGAGGGUUUGUUAUUUUCUUUAAAUUGCCUAUUAAUUUAUUAAAUUGUCCCGAUUAAGUAAUGUA